rnacentral:misc_RNA from 1 species
UUGCUUUGAUCUUGAAGGCAGAGAAAAAACUCGUUGGGCUGAGAAACAGAGCAAUGGAGGAGGAGGACUUGACUUCUCUAUUGAUGAAGUAUUAGCAACGAAGAAACCUGGCACGAUCAGAAUCGGACUUGACAUUGGAGGUGGAGUAGCUACAUUCGCAGUGAGAAUGAUGGCAAGAAACAUAACAAUUGUAACAACAUCAAUGAAUUUGAAUGGUCCAUUCAAUAAUUUCAUAGCUUCAAGAGGGAUAGUGCCUCUUUAUAUAAGCAUCUCACAGAAGCUUCCAUUCUUCGAUAACACCUUGGAUAUUGUACACUCAAUGCAUGUAUUGAGCAACUGGAUUCCAACAACUUUGCUUCAUUUCUUGAUGUUUGAUAUCUAUAGGGUGCUCAGGCCUGGUGGGUUGUUUUGGCUAGAUCAUUUCUUCUGUGUGGGUGAGCAGUUGGAGGAGGUCUAUGGACCACUUAUUGAGAGCAUUGGAUUCAACAAGUUGAAGUGGGUUGUAGGGAGGAAGCUUGAUCGUGGACCAGAGCUCCAAGAGAUGUACCUCUCAGCUUUGUUGGAGAAGCCAUUGAAGA